AGUGAACGCUGGCGGCGUGCCUAAUACAUGCAAGUCGAACGGAGUGGCGCCCGGGUGAGUAAUGUAUAGCUAAUAUGCCCUACACUAGAGGACAACAGUUGGAAACGACUGCUCAUACUCUAUAGUUGAGGAUGAGGCUAUAUUGUAUCAGCUAGUUGGUGAGGUAAUUGCUCACCCAGGCUAUGACGACUAACUGGUCUGAGAGGAUGAUCAGUCACCAUGGAACUGAGACACGGUCCAUACUCCUACGGGAGUGAGCAGUAGGGAAGAUUGCUCAAUGGGGGAAACUCUGAAGCAGCAACGCCGCGUGGAGGAUGACACUUUUCGGAGCGUAAAUGCCUUUUGUUAGGGAAGCGGUACCUAACGAAUAAGCACCGGCUAACUCCGUGCCAGCAGCCGCGGUAAUUC
rnacentral:rRNA from 1 species